GAGAAUGAGGGCUAUCUGGUUGUGACAUCUGUUACCCCAUUGAUGGCCAGGGUUGAUUCACCUGAUCUGGCUGGCCAGGCAGUGCCCCCUUCCUCCCUCAUCACUCCUUGUGCUUCCCUCCCGAAGUGGCACACUCUAUGGAAGAGAACAACCUUCCCCGAAGGAGGACCAUUCUCUGGUCAAGAGUAUGUGAGUACUUGACCUAUCCUUUUUUUUUUUUUUUUUUUUUUUUUUUAAUUUAUUUAUUUACGAUAGUCACACUCAGAGAGAGAGAGAGAGAGAGAGAGAGAGAGGCAGAGACACAGGCAGAGAGAGAAGCAGGCUCCAUGCACUGGGAGCCCAAUGUGGGAUUCGAUCCUGGGUCUCCAGGAUCGCGCCCUGAGCCAAAGGCAGGCGCCAAACCGCUGCGCCACCCAGGGAUCCCAGUACUUGACCUAUCCUGCUAGAACCUCCAAACAAGCUCUCAAGGUCCAUUUGUAGGAGAAGGUAGCGUUCCAAGACUCCAGACACAUUCAAAUGAGGUGCUUUUUGU
rnacentral:snRNA from 1 species